AGAGUUUGAUUCCUGGCUCAGGACGAACGCUGGCGGCGUGCCUAAUACACGCAAGUCGAACGCUUUUUCUUUCACCGGAGCUUGCUCCACCGAAAGAAAAAGAGUGGCGAACGGGUGAGUAACACGUGGGUAACCUGCCCAUCAGAAGGGGAUAACACUUGGAAACAGGUGCUAAUACCGUAUAACACUAUUUUCCGCAUGGAAGAAAGUUGAAAGGCGCUUUUGCGUCACUGAUGGAUGGACCCGCGGUGCAUUAGCUAGUUGGUGAGGUAACGGCUCACCGAGGCAACGAUGCAUAGCCGACCUGAGAGGGUGAUCGGCCACACUGGGACUGAGACACGGCCCAGACUCCUACGGGAGGCAGCAGUAGGGAAUCUUCGGCAAUGGACGAAAGUCUGACCGAGCAACGCCGCGUGAGUGAAGAAGGUUUUCGGAUCGUAAAACUCUGUUGUUAGAGAAGAACGAGGAUGAGAGUAAAAUGUUCAUCCCUUGACGGUAUCUAACCAGAAAGCCACGGCUAACUACGUGCCAGCAGCCGCGGUAAUACGUAGGUGGCAAGCGUUGUCCGGAUUUAUUGGGCGUAAAGCGAGCGCAGGCGGUUUCUUAAGUCUGAUGUGAAAGCCCCCGGCUCAACCGGGGAGGGUCAUUGGAAACUGGGAGACUUGAGUGCAGAAGAGGAGAGUGGAAUUCCAUGUGUAGCGGUGAAAUGCGUAGAUAUAUGGAGGAACACCAGUGGCGAAGGCGGCUCUCUGGUCUGUAACUGACGCUGAGGCUCGAAAGCGUGGGGAGCGAACAGGAUUAGAUACCCUGGUAGUCCACGCCGUAAACGAUGAGUGCUAAGUGUUGGAGGGUUUCCGCCCUUCAGUGCUGCAGCAAACGCAUUAAGCACUCCGCCUGGGGAGUACGACCGCAAGGUUGAAACUCAAGGAAUUGACGGGGGCCGCACAGCGGUGAGCAUGUGGUUUAUUCGAGCACGCGAGACCUACCAGGUCUGACAUCCUUUGACCACUCUAGAGAUAGAGCUUCCUUCGGGGCAAAGUGACAGGUGUGCAUGUGUCGUCAGCUCGUGUUCUGAAAUGUUGGAUUAAGUC
rnacentral:rRNA from 1 species